rnacentral:rRNA from 1 species
AUUGAACGCUGGCGGCAGGCCUAACACAUGCAAGUCGAACGAGUGGCGGACGGGUGAGUAAUGUCUGGGAAACUGCCUGAUGGAGGGGGAUAACUACUGGAAACGGUAGCUAAUACCGCAUACCAUCGGAUGUGCCCAGGUGGGUUUAGCUAGUAGGUGGGGUAACGGCGCACCUAGGCGACGAUCCCUAGCUGGUCUGAGAGGAUGACCAGCCACACUGGAACUGAGACACGGGCCAGACUCCUACGGGAGGCAGCAGUAGGGAAUAUUGGACAAUGGGCGCAAGCCUGAUGCAGCCAUGCCGCGUGUAUGAAGAAGGCCUUCGGGUUGUAAAGUACUUUCAGCGAGGAAGCGUUACUCGCAGAAGAAGCACCGGCUAACUCCGUGCCAGCAGCCGCGGUAAUUC